GUUUAGAUGGGAAGUGGAUGGGUCUGAGGAAUUUGAACAAACACCGACAAUGAAGGAGAGUGACCUGAGCAAGUAGUAGUGGGGUAAAUGGAAAUAGACAAAAUGGGAAUCAGCAGAGAUAUGGAGGACAGAAUACAAUGAGGAGGCCUUGACCGUCAGUAGCAGAGAGGGCAGCAGAAGCCUAAUUCCCAAAUUCUUUAGAUGGUUUUCUGAUUUCCAAAUUAGUUUCCCUUUUAAAUUUAUUGUGUCAGGUUCAGCUUAUGAGGCCUCAAUACUUUUCAGUCUUAAUUGUAUAUUGAAAAUACUUUUUGUUUACUAAAUGCUUUUUACAUUAAUUCAGUGUGCACUUCGUAAGGAUAAUGAUGAUUUGAGUUAGUUUAGUAUUCAACAGCUUCCUCUAUUCCUUUAUAUGAUCUCUGUAUUUAAUGGCUGUGGCAUAAAGUUUCCAACUAAGUUUAAGUAUCAAGUUUUCUUUGUGCUGUUUUCUGCAAAUAUUGAAGGAUGACCUGGAUUGUCCUAGAACUUUGUUCCAACAGAUUACAUGUGUUCAUAAUGAAUAGACUGCUCAAAGAUA
rnacentral:lncRNA from 1 species